rnacentral:rRNA from 1 species
AGCGAACGCUGGCGGCGUGCCUAACACAUGCAAGUCGAACGUGAAAGGGAGCACUCCCAAGUAAAGUGGCGUACGGGUGAGUAACACGUAGGUAAUCUACCCCAGAAUCUGGAAUAACCGGCCGAAAGGCUGGCUAAUACUGGAUAGAGCGACGGAAUCCGUAAUUGGGUUUUUCGGGAAAGGGAGCCUGUAAAAAGGCCUUCGUUCUGGGAUGAGCCUGCGUCCCAUCAGCUAGUUGGUGAGGUAAAAGCUUACCAAGGCAAUGACGGGUAGCUGGUCUGAGAGGACGAGCAGCCACACUGGAACGGAAACACGGUCCAGACUCCUACGGGAGGCAGCAGGGGGGAAUCUUGCGCAAUGGACGAAAGUCUGACGCAGCAACGCCGCGGGAGUGAAGAAGGCCGUCGGGUUGUAAAGCUCUGUCGAGUGGGACGAAAAUGCUUGGAGUUCACAGCUCCAGGAACUGACGGUACCACUAAAGGAAGCACCGGCUAACUCCGUG